rnacentral:misc_RNA from 1 species
UCCGAGUUGACCCCGGCAGUCUCCUAUGAGUCCCCAUCACCCCGAAGGGCAUGCUGGCAACAUAGAACGAGGGUUGCGCUCGUUGCGGGACUUAACCCAACAUCUCACGACACGAGCUGACGACAACCAUGCACCACCUGUCACCGGCCCAAAAGGACCCCGCAUCUCUGCGAGUUUUCCGGCGAUGUCAAGCCUUGGUAAGGUUCUUCGCGUUGCGUCGAAUUAAGCCACAUGCUCCGCUGCUUGUGCGGGCCCCCGUCAAUUCCUUUGAGUUUUAAUCUUGCGACCGUACUCCCCAGGCGGGAUGCUUAAAGCGUUAGCUGCGCCACUGACGGGUAAACCCGCCAACGGCUAGCAUCCAUCGUUUACGGCGUGGACUAC